GAUGAAGAACGCAGCGAAAUGCGAUAAGUAAUGUGAAUUGCGGAAUUCAGUGAAUCAUCGAAUCUUUGAACGCACCUUGCGCUCUUUGGUAUUCCGAAGAGCAUGCCUGUUUGAGUGUCAUGAAAAUAUCAACCUUGACUUGGGUUUUGUGCUCUAGUCUCGGCUUGGAAUUGGGUGCUUGCCGCUUUUACGAGCGGAUCACCUUAAAUGUAUUAGCUGGAUCUGUCUUUGAGACUUGGUUUGACUUGGCGUAAUAAGUAUUUCGCUAAGGACAUUCUUCGGAGUGGCCUCGUUUCUAGGACGCUUGUCCGCUUUCCAAUACAAGUUCCACCUCGUGGACAUGACUUUUUAUUAUCUGGCCUCAAAUCAGGUAGGACUACCCGCUGAACUUAAGCAUAUCAAUAAGCGGAGG
rnacentral:misc_RNA from 1 species